rnacentral:tRNA from 1 species
GGGGUUAUGGUUUAAUUGGUAAAACGAGGACUUAAGUCCUUUAUUCAGGUUCAAUUCCUGAUAACUCCA